rnacentral:lncRNA from 1 species
GCUUAGCUAACAGGCAGGAGUGGACAAAGUCUGUGCAACCAGAGCCCCGACAAAGCCUUCGCACAGAGCCAGUGAGCCAGGACUCCUCUGGCGUCACCACUGAGGCUGUAGGGAGCCUACACUGGCUUUGCCGCCUCUGCUGGCACCGGGCCAGGACACAGGACGCUGGACAUCAGACGCCACGCUGGCACCUCUGCCCCAGCAGCUCCUGGAAACUGAACGUUGCUGCUGCAGCCAGAAGGAGUUCUGUUCUCACCCAGCUUCUCAGCAUCACGAGCAAGUGACACACAAUCUUGGGUCAUCACAUCCGAGUGCCCCAGCCUAGGGGCUGGGGAUGAGAGUAUCUGGUGUUUGCACCUUUCAUAGAGAGAUGAGCCUUGUCUGCCACCAGGAUUUGCAAGAGGUUCAGUGAAUAUGUCUUGGAGGCUCCACAGCCAUUAAGGAUGCCUACACCACAUUAUUCAUCAGUUCCAGAGAAGGUUCUGUUGUCAUCAGGAGACACCGCUGAGGCCUACCUGCUGAGUCGGAGUACUGGUUGAUGAUAGAAACUCUGCUGUCAUCUCCAUCAGAAACCUAAAGGAACGUGUCGUGUUGCUCGCUGAAAUCUUCUGGCUGGCCCGGCAAGUGGCGCCCAGCGUGGGGCUCGACGAAAGUUCCUUGCGGCCGCUGCCUGUUGAAACUACUAAGGUAAGUAAGAGUGUAUAUACUUGUAUAUUGAGGGGCAGGAAGGAAUAUUGUCGAGAGUAUAAACCAUGGGACAAGAUCAUAGCCGUCAGUUGUGCAUAUGUUACAGAUAAUGUUAAAGGAUCAGGGAAUA